UGUGUUUCUUCCUUUUGAUGCCUUGCUUACUGGCAAAACUUUCACCCUUCUCCGUUGGAAGCCCGACAAUAUAAGCAUGAAAGUGCAGUUAUGAGUGAUGCAGAGUCCGUCCCAAAGUAUAUCACAUGAUAACAAGCGAGGAUUGAAACGGUAAUCUCCAAAUAAAGAUUUAGAGAGCCAAUCAGCAAACUACCCGUUUGACGGUUUUUAAUGAUCUAUUACUCAUCUUCAUAUUAUCUUGUUACACCUCUCGCCUAAAAAUUUCAUGCAUGAAUAGUAAUCUCCCAAUUUUAAAAAAAAAAAAA